CUACGGGAGGCAGCAGUGGGGAAUUUUGCGCAAUGGGCGAAAGCCUGACGCAGCGACGCCGCGUGGAGGAUGAAGGCCCUUGGGUUGUAAACUCCUGUCAGGUGGGAAGAAAGAUCUUCGGUAAACAGCCGAGGAUUCUGACUGUACCACCGGAGGAAGCCCCGGCUAACUCUGUGCCAGCAGCCGCGGUAAUACAGAGGGGGCAAGCGUUGUUCGGAAUUAUUGGGCGUAAAGGGCGCGUAGGCGGCCAUCCAAGUCGGGUGUGAAAUCCCUCGGCUCAACCGAGGAACUGCACUCGAUACUGGUUGGCUCGAGUCCGGGAGGGGAUGGUGGAAUUCCCAGUGUAGCGGUGAAAUGCGUAGAUAUUGGGAAGAACACCGGUGGCGAAGGCGACCAUCUGGACCGGAACUGACGCUGAGGCGCGAAAGCCAGGGGAGCGAAUGGGAUUAGAUACCCCGGU
rnacentral:rRNA from 1 species